rnacentral:rRNA from 1 species
AGUGAACGCUGGCGGUAGGCCUAACACAUGCAAGUCGAACGGCAGCACAGUAAGAGCUUGCUCUUACGGGUGGCGAGUGGCGGACGGGUGAGGAAUACAUCGGAAUCUACUUUUUCGUGGGGGAUAACGUAGGGAAACUUACGCUAAUACCGCAUACGACCUACGGGUGAAAGCAGGGGAUCUUCGGACCUUGCGCGACUGAAUGAGCCGAUGUCGGAUUAGCUAGUUGGCGGGGUAAAGGCCCACCAAGGCGACGAUCCGUAGCUGGUCUGAGAGGAUGAUCAGCCACACUGGAACUGAGACACGGUCCAGACUCCUACGGGAGGCAGCAGUGGGGAAUAUUGGACAAAGGGCGCAAGCCUGAUCCAGCCAUACCGCGUGAGUGAAGAAGGCCUUCGGGUUGUAAAGCUCUUUUGUUGGGGAAGAAAAGAAGCAGGUUAAUCCCCCGCUGUUCUGACGGUACCCAAAGAAUAAGCACCGGCUAACUUCGUG